GCCGAAGUAGCUCAGUUGGUAGAGCAACCGCCUUGUAAGCGGUAGGUCGCGAGUUCGAGUCUCGCCUUCGGCUCCA
rnacentral:tRNA from 1 species